GGCUCUAGAAAACAUAUGGUGAUGGUAGAUGAUGCAAAUUAUCUUUGUUGUUGCUCACUCUUAAUUGUCAGAUUGUUGGGCCUCUAAGCAUGGAGUUUCGUUGCAAGCGAGAGUUUUUCCUCGAGUGAUCAAGUUUAUAUCUAACCCUAGUGAAGUCUUGGACUCUUUCUUCCUCUCCAUGUCAAGAAAUAUGAUGAAGAAAGAAACUAAAAUAAUCUUGUUGUCCUAAAUUGUACCGGUGCAAUCGUUGGUUGCACCCGCAUUUUUAGUUAAUACAAGACUAAUAUAAAAUCUUUGAUUGCAAGUCAGGUGUGCAUAAUUGAACCGAAUCCAAAAUCUUUUUAUCUUUUCCCAUUAUGGUUAUAGUUGGAGAUCUUAUGGCACUUGCACUUUCCCAUCUCAUAGGCUCGCCAGCGCGCCCUCGUCGUUCUAUACGAGCCGCCCUCCACCGCAUUCAGUUUUUUUUUUUUUAAAAAAGGAGGUUGAAACCCCCGGCCUCUGCAUAAAAAAGAUGCACAUAGCCACAUUUUAUUGAUUUAUUAACAAACCUGACAAAGUGAAUACAUCGAUCAAAACACCCCAAAGCCACCAAGCUAUACCUACA
rnacentral:lncRNA from 1 species